rnacentral:rRNA from 1 species
GAUGAACGCUGGCGGCGUGCCUAAUACAUGCAAGUCGAGCGAACGGACGAGAAGCUUGCUUCUCUGAUGUUAGCGGCGGACGGGUGAGUAACACGUGGAUAACCUACCUAUAAGACUGGGAUAACUUCGGGAAACCGGAGCUAAUACCGGAUAAUAUUUUGAACCGCAUGGUUCAAUAGUGAAAGACGGUCUUGCUGUCACUUAUAGAUGGAUCCGCGCUGCAUUAGCUAGUUGGUAAGGUAACGGCUUACCAAGGCAACGAUGCAUAGCCGACCUGAGAGGGUGGUCGGCCACACUGGAACUGAGACACGGUCCAGACUCCUACGGGAGGCAGCAGUAGGGAAUCUUACGCAAUGGGCGAAAGCCUGACGGAGCAACGCGGCGUGAGUGAUGAAGGUGUUCGGAUCGUAAAGCUCUGUUAUGAGGGAAGAACAGAUGUGUAAGUAGAUGUGGAGAUAUUGACGGUACCUAAUCAGAAAGCCACGGCUAACUACGUG